rnacentral:tRNA from 1 species
AGCUCAGUGGUCCAAUGGUAAAGCGCUUGUUGUGGAGCCAAGAGAGUCCUUGGUUCGAUCCCCAACGGAGUCU